GGAGAGGUCCGCACGUUUGGCAUGUGCAGCGGUCUGAAAAACCGUCGGCUCUCUAGGCUUCGCGGGUUCGAAUCCCGUCCUCUCCG
rnacentral:tRNA from 1 species